ensembl:lncRNA
GUAAUAAUUGUGUUUUCCUUUGGAGCUUGUUACAGAAAAGCUGACUCUGUCAGCACAUCCUAAAGUGGGUUUCCUGCUUAAAAACUAGAGUGCUAACAGAAGAGGUUAGGGAGAUUUGCGCUGCUCUGAAAUGGAGUCUCUAGGUGAAAUGAAUGUAUUAAAUUUCCAAGGUAAUUGUAACUUCUUGCCUUAAAAUAUUUUUAAUACUCUCAAGAUGAAACAUAGAUAUCUUUUCAAAACUUUCAUGGUCAGGCUUCUCUCUAAUAUCCACAGCACUAAUUUACUGGGAACAUUAAGUAGCAAGAACUCCUUUUAUUUGAUAUAGGCUUUUAUCAAGGACAUCAUGAUCUAAACCAAGAAUCUGUGGAUCUCCUGCAAAACUCCUUGGAUUUUCAGUCAUCGCUGAUUAAAACAAAUGUGAGCAAAGGACAAAUAAAAAUGUUAGCAUGCAGAUGUGCAGGAGAAUCCUUAUCUCUUCUGCUUUUUUAACUAAUUGAAGAAGCUAAUUUCAAACAAAGACACACAGUGCUCACUUGGAUGAAACAGUUUCCAGUACUAACAAGGGAAUUCAUGUAAAGGUAAUGGUUGCAACUUGUUCUGAGUCCUUGCAAAAAGAAGCGGAAAGAAAAUAUUGAUUGUGCAGUGCUAACAAAAAGGAAGAAAACAGAAAGAGGAGAGAGAGAGAUAAACCAAGUGUUUUCACAAAGCUCUUUUUGGUCAAUUUUUGAUGUAAUUAGAGGAGUAGCUUGCAAAGCUGGGGAAAGCUGCACGGCCAGGUGAGCUGAGCUCUGCCAAUGCCCAGGUCCCAUUUCAUGAGCAGGGUUGUGACUUGUGGGAAGGUGCGUGCACACGUGGGUAGAAAAGGGGAUUGCAUGGGUGACAUUUGCAAAUGUCUUGUCAGCAUCCAGACAGUUCCUUGUAAAUCUAGUUUGUCUUUAUCCGACAUUUUUGGCAUGGAAGGGGAAAAACCAACACCCUUCAUUAGGCUUGUAAAUCCUGGCCUAGAACACCCUGUGCAGCUUGCUCCCAAGAAAAGGAAUCUUCUGCACAAUAACUGCACUUUUUCAAUCAGUCCUCUUGAUCCCUGCUCUUGCUUAUUCCCAAGAAUCUGCCAAGUCUGUUGAACUUCCUCAGAGUGACCCUCCCGUUUAAUUCACGGGCCAUUUUGUAUUUACAGAGAGGUCAAUAAAAGCUUUCCAGAGCUGCAAACCCCUUUGUAAUGGUUGUCCUGAGCAAUACAGCCUGAAGAGCCCCAACAGGAAAUUGGUAAAGCAGCAGCCAAUUUCCUCCUGCUCUUUUACUGCCGUUUGGUCUUCCUGCUCUGCUCGUAUCCCCACUGCUGAAUUAUUCUAGAAAUGGUGGGAGAUUUCCAGCGCCACAUAUGGAGGAGAACUCAUGUCAUUCACAGAAUUUUAUGUGAGGUUAAUCAGACAUCAGAAUUGUUUAAUUAAUAGUAGCUGCUGGGUGAAAGCUGAGUUAGGUGUCUGCUCCCAUUUUGUUUCUGACAUUGUACUGAACUUUUGUUACUCCUGCUUAAAACGUGGGCAAUGUCUGUGCAUGUUCCAGGCUGUGGUUUACAGGCCUCUGGAAAUCUUUGGGUGUAAGGAGUGAUGCAGUGCAGUGACAGCCCUCAACUUCUGCCCUCUGCUCCGAUGCCUGAACAGAGAAGAAUAUCUUCUCUAGAAGAGCAAGGAGUGGUGUUAUCAAACAUCUUUGGUUAGUAAAGCUGCUUCACAAAGGCUGCACUGGCAAUGGCAACGACUCAUUGGAGCAGAUCUGAAACUGUUGGUACUGAGUACCAGAUGUUCUCAACAAAAGCCUUUUCAAGGUGAUCACGAUGACAGCGAGUCCAGUCCUGCAAACUGCAAACCCACGACAGCCUGGAACACUUCUUCUGGUUUAGCUUCACCCAAAAAGAUGCAGUCUGUGUGCUCCGUGCUGGCUGUGUGAUGCCAGCUCAGUCGGGGACACCUGGGAGGUGGCCUUCAAAAUCGUAUUCCCAACCUGAGCUCCAUCAAUUGCACUGAUGCACGAAGGGACUUUCCUGCACCGCGCUCAGUGGCACACAACUGCCGCACCCCACCUCCCAGGAGAAGAGCACACAGCUCUAAUUUAGAUGCCUGGGCUGCCUCUGCAGCGCCUGGGGAGUGUUUAGCAUCUUGGAAAGCCCUACUUACCUGUGACAGCAAAGGUCCUGAGUGCCCAAACUAAUCAAUGGGAUAUGCGGAUGCUACAGCACCCAAAUCCCACACCUCCCCCAGCCUUCCUCUGUGGCUCACAGCCUCAGUCCUUUGUCUAAGGUAGCUGUUUACUUGCCGUCUCCCCCAGGCAGAGGGAUAGAAGGCUGAGGAAACUGUUGCAGUUCUGUGUUCUUUCCUAAACGAUCACAGCACAAAUUUUGGUCUCCGCACUUGCAACUUGUCUGCGUUUCCCUCAAUGGCUGGUAGAUCUAAAAGAAACAAGUUAGCCCUCCAACUUGGUAAAGCUCUCCUUUCUCCCAAAGAAACGCAGUAAUUGCUUAUAGCCAUGUAUUCUUAGCUGCAACGAUGUCACUGUUUUCUGAAAAGUAGAACAUUUCCAACACAAAGCAAUUGUUUUUAAGCCAAAUGGCUGAAAGAAUCACUCCAAAAGAUAAGAGAGCAAUUUGACUCUCCUUUUCCCCUGGUCGGUGUGAACCCUUUGUGUACCAGGAGGGGUUCCUCCCCAGGUGGCCCUGGGAAGAUAAUCCCACCCGGAGGCUUCCAUUAUGGGCACCUGGACCCAAUGCAGGGACUCACAGCAUAAGAGCAAAGUUACAUUGGGAACCAGGAACGAUUCAGCUGGGUGUGUUGAAGGCUCCGGUAUCAGCUCAGGAUUGCGUAGGUAAAGAACUUUGAAAUCUGCAAUUAAACUUGAUGAUGAAAUCAAAUUAUUAAAGAAAGCGUGCUGGGGGAGCAGUGCCGUUCGGAUUAAUUUUGCUUUGUGUGUGGAUGCAAUACAGGCUCACUGUGGAAGGUCUCCUGCAGCACUCAAGGCCACUGGCUCUGAUUUUUCAAGCCUCGAAAGAGAAAACAAAUCCGAAUACCCGUGCUUACGAUUUCCCGAAUUUAUUCAUUUAUGGAAAGAGACGAAGCACAGUCGAAUCUCUCUUGUGGAGAAGACUGCAGCCGUAAACUCUUAAAUGAUUGGAUUACCUGUCUUGUAUCGUAUUAUCUUCUGUGCUAGUUACGUAUUGUUUCAAAGCUACAAAAAUAACAGCUCUUCUGUUUGAAAUAUUUUUCUUAGCUUUGCCUCUUGGUCAUAAAAUGUAAUCUGAUGCUUUUUUUCUUGAAAGGUUCCUUGUAGGUUUUAGUUGUUCUUUAAGUUAUGCACUUCAGUCUUAAGUUUGAUUUUUUUUGUCAGUUAACCUCACACCUCAAAUACAGAUUUUCUCUCCAGGCUACCACUUUGAUUCUUCUCGUCAACCCCAAACUUAGCAAAACUAUGGAUGUGCAUAUUCUCUCUCUCUCUCUCUUUUUUUUAACCAUAAUUAUCAAGUUUGUUCAUUUUUUUUUUCUUCUCCCCUUCAGGAUCUUUCUGGCAAGCAUUGCACUCUCCUGGGUUUCGAUGCUGUGAGAAUUACAAUUCAUCCAGAGUUCAAGCCUUUGGUUAAGACAAUGUCCUCAGGGUUAUGAGUUUUGUUUUUCAGAGUUGGUGACCUGAUUGGAAAAGCAGCUCUCUGGAAAAAUAAUUAUGGGAGACAAAAAAUAAUAAGAAAAAAGAAAGAAAAUACGUGAUGUGCUGUAGAAGUUCCAGCCGCAAACAGAUUUUCAUUCUCUUGUGCGUAAGAAAGCAAAUAAAAAAUGAAAGCAACUACGCAAAAAGAAGAGCAGAAAGCAACAAAUGGAUUAACAGGGAGCAAUCAGCAUCUGCCAAGCAGCGAGAGUACCAAAGCUGCCAUUAGUAUCUCCCCAGUCUAACUGGUUCGAUUUCCUCCUCACCUCUGAAGGACGAUCCUGCACAGCAGCUGUAUCAGCAUAGACACUGCUGGGGGGUUGUUGCCUUCUGCAAGAGUAUUCGGGACCCUCAACCAAAACCUUCUGCCUUCCUGCUAAAUGAUUGAAGAAUAUCUUGUAAAUCAUUUACCUCUCCCUGCUGCUGGCUUUCUGUUGAUAGUGUUUACUCUGCUUCCAACACGAUGGCAAAGUUAAAUUUUCAUCUUGCAGAAAAAAAAUAAAAAGAACAAAAUACGGUGAGCCUUUUUGCUCGUUAUUGCCUGAUCUUUCUGGAGCGAGCUGUUUCUCAAUCCCAUGCAUCACAGAUGUCCUGUCAAGGCUCAUAUACACCCAGUGAAGUAUUUGCAUCCCCGUGCCUGCUGAUAGAGUGAGCAUGUUUGUCUACAAAGUGCUUUUAAAUGAACUAAUACAUGAUUCAUGCGGGCUCCUUUGAGCAGAACACCAAUCUGUCUGGACACAGUUUGCUGUAGGCUUGACAACAGGAGAGUUUCUCUGAGUGAGACGGGUGCAGCGACCUCCUGGCGGGAUGGGUCAGCAUCCAGGUGCCAGCGGGGGACAGACCCCACUUGUCUGCCACAUCCCUCGUGUCGUCUCUCUCCGGUGCCGGUGACACAGACCUCUGCCUGCUCAGUCAUGCUUGUGCAGGAGUGGGUAGUGCACUACCUUUAUCAUCUAUACAGGGAUACAACAAGAUUCUUUGCACUCAAGGAGAGAAAAAAAUUGAUCCCAUGUAUACUGUUUCCUAUUGAACUAAAUAGAUUUUUAAUCGAGUCUCUGCUCCUUUGGGUAAUUGACUUAACAGUGUGGGCAAAUUAAUUUCAGAUAAACCAUCACUGGGAUUUUCCAAGGAGAUUUUCCUGGGGUGCUGGGAGUCAGCCUGGCGCAGCAGCGGUGGGACAAUCAUCUCAGUUCCUCUGGUGCUGCCCAAACGGUUCAACCUAGGACCAAAUUCUGGAGCUUUUAUGUGAGAAAACCUCCCACCAAAGUCAUUGAUUCAGGAAGAAUUUAGGAGGAAGUUUUUCACCCAGAGGGUGGUGACGCACUGAACAGGUUGCCCAAGGAGGCUGUGGAUGCCCCAUCCCUGCAGGCAUUCAAGGCCAGGCUGGAUGUGGCUCUGGGCAGCCUGGUCUGCUGGUUGGUGACCCUUCACAUAGCAGGGGGUUGGAAGUGGAUGAUCACUGUUGUCCUUUUCAA